GACGAACGCUGGCGGCGUGCCUAAUACAUGCAAGUAGAACGCUGAAGGAGGAGCUUGCUCUUCUGGAUGAGUUGCGAACGGGUGAGUAACGCGUAGGUAACCUGCCUGGUAGCGGGGGAUAACUAUUGGAAACGAUAGCUAAUACCGCAUAACAGUAGAUGUUGCAUGACAUUUACUUAAAAGGUGCAAUUGCCUCACUACCAGAUGGACCUGCGUUGUAUUAGCUAGUUGGUGGGGUAACGGCUCACCAAGGCGACGAUACAUAGCCGACCUGAGAGGGUGAUCGGCCACACUGGGACUGAGACACGGCCCAGACUACUACGGGAGGCAGCAGUAGGGAGUCUUCGGCAAUGGACGGAAGUCUGACCGAGCAACGACGCGUGAGUGAAGAAGGUUUUCGGAUCGUAAAGCUCUGUUGUAAGAGAAGAACGAGUGUGAGAGUGGAAAGUUCACACUGUGACGGUAUCUUACCAGAAAGGGACGGCUAACUACGUG
rnacentral:rRNA from 1 species